CCUACGGGGGGCAGCAGUGAGGAAUAUUGGUCAAUGGACGAGAGUCUGAACCAGCCAAGUAGCGUGAAGGAUGACUGCCCUAUGGGUUGUAAACUUCUUUUAUAUGGGAAUAAAAUGUUCCACGUGUGGGAUUUUGUAUGUACCAUAUGAAUAAGGAUCGGCUAACUCCGUGCCAGCAGCCGCGGUAAUACGGAGGAUCCGAGCGUUAUCCGGAUUUAUUGGGUUUAAAGGGAGCGUAGGUGGAUUGUUAAGUCAGUUGUGAAAGUUUGCGGCUCAACCGUAAAAUUGCAGUUGAAACUGGCAGUCUUGAGUACAGUAGGGGUGGGCGGAAUUCGUGGUGUAGCGGUGAAAUGCUUAGAUAUCACGAAGAACUCCGAUUGCGAAGGCAGUUCACUGGACUGCAACUGACACUGAGGCUCGAAAGUGUGGGUAUCAAACAGGAUUAGAUACACUAGUAGUC
rnacentral:rRNA from 1 species